CUUGGAAUGACUUUUCAUAGGUAAGAAUAGUUUUUGGCUCUUUUUUCAUUAUGAACUCUUGUUGAGAGCUUCCAGUCUAUGAGAGCUAACUAGUUAGCCACUAGCAAAACGCUAAGGCGAGCUAGCAGCUUGACAACCAAAUACCAGACGAUUAAUAGUAGCUGUAGUAUAGUUGUACAAGCAGUAGUAGUAAUACUAAAAGUACAAGCAGCAGUAGUAGUAUAAACAGCUAUUAGAGUCAUAGAAGUAGUAUCAGCAUUUGUAAUAGUAUUACAAGUUGUAGUAGCAGUGCCAGUAUCAGCAGCAGUAGUGAGUGUACUACUAGUAGUAGUCACAUUGCUAUUACUACCACCAAUACUACCAAUAGUAGUUAUAAAGCCUAACUCAUGUAUAUCCAGAUUACCAUCUAUGUUCUUCCUCCAAACCCAUUAUAUGAUUGGGAUUACAGGCAGUUCUUUAGGACUGCUCUCAAAUAAUUGAAAUGUUACUAAACAAGGUUAUACUUAUCAAAUUAAAUAGCUCUGGUCUCCAGUAUAUUGGCGAAUUCGGUUCUUUGUACUUAAUUUAUUAGCAUGAUUUCUUUUUAAUAUGUUUUGUACAGACUUAAUUAUUUCUCUGUCUACUUUUCUUACUCCAUGUAGGUUUCCCAGAGACUAUGGGUUGAGGAGGAAUUGGAAGUUUGUCGGCUUAGACCUGGUGUCAUUCCAUCGGUGUUAAACUUCCCGGCUCAUCUUGGAAGAGUACGUGCCAGAAAGACCACGACCAAGCAGCCUUGAGAUCUUAGGCAGCGUCUCCCUCAGCCACCAACCACUGGAACACAUCUCCAAAGUUCUGCUGGGCCAGCUCAGCUUCCCCUCAGAAGAAGUGCCGCCACCUGCCAGAUGAAGGAGCCUUUUGAGAGGCAGCUGGCAUCGUGAUUGGACUGUACUUUGGUCUGUUCCAAUCCAGCUUCAGCUCCAGAGACGGCAGGCGGGACGAGUCAACGGAGGCCUGGUGGACGAAGGCAUGCAGCUGAGUACAAUCCAGAAAACAACAAAGGAGGAGUGCAGCGGCUCAGGACCAGAACAACCAGAGUAGCAGGACCAAAGAACUACAGACUCUUCACAACCUGCUCAAACUCUUGGUACAGGACCUCACCACACGGGUCAAGAAGGUUUCCUUCUCCUCAUUUCUACUCUGAAGCUCACCUUCUCCUGCUCAAACUGCUGACAAAUGUUUCUGCUGCUCUAAAGUCUGCUCUCCAGAACUUCCUAUAAAAACUUAGUCUCUUCUGCUGCAGGUUGCUUUGUAGAACUGUUGCAGAAAACCUCACUAAACCACAUGGAGGGGCCUCAAGAUAGUCGUCCAAAUGAAACCAUACAAAAACCAAA